rnacentral:rRNA from 1 species
AGAGUUUGAUCCUGGCUCAGGAUGAACGCUAGCUACAGGCUUAACACAUGCAAGUCGAGGGGCAGCAUUAUCGGAGCUUGCUUUGAUAGAUGGCGACCGGCGCACGGGUGAGUAACGCGUAUCCAACCUUCCCCUUAGUAGAGGAUAGCCCGGCGAAAGUCGGAUUAAUACUCUAUGUUGUAUUUUGAGGACAUCUGACGAAUACCAAAAAUUUAUCGCUAAGGGAUGGGGAUGCGUCUGAUUAGCUUGUCGGCGGGGUAACGGCCCACCGAGGCGACGAUCAGUAGGGGUUCUGAGAGGAAGGUCCCCCACAUUGGUACUGAGACACGGACCAAACUCCUACGGGAGGCAGCAGUGAGGAAUAUUGGUCAAUGGGCGUAGGCCUGAACCAGCCAAGUAGCGUGCAGGAUGACUGCCCUAUGGGUUGUAAACUGCUUUUAUGCGGGAAUAAAGUCAGGUACGGGUACCUGUUUGCAUGUACCGCAUGAAUAAGGACCGGCUAAUUCCGUGCCAGCAGCCGCGGUAAUACGGAAGGUCCGGGCGUUAUCCGGAUUUAUUGGGUUUAAAGGGAGCGCAGGCGGAGGAUUAAGCGUGACGUGAAAUGUCCCGGCUCAACCGUGGAACUGCGUCGCGAACUGGUUUUCUUGAGUGAGUGCGACGUCGGCGGAAUUCGUGGUGUAGCGGUGAAAUGCUUAGAUAUCACGAAGAACCCCGAUUGCGAAGGCAGCCGACGAGUCCUUAACUGACGCUAAAGCUCGAAAGUGCGGGUAUCGAACAGGAUUAGAUACCCUGGUAGUCCGCACGGUAAACCAUAAAAGCCCCCUGUUUGCGAUAUCCUGUGAGC